rnacentral:lncRNA from 1 species
GGCUCUGAAAAAGUCUUGUGAUGAAGACAAAGUUUUUUUAUGGUUUUCUAGCAUUCACCAACAUUCAUUUUGUCAUGGAAUCCAUUUUUCCGAAUUAUCUAAGAAUAGAAUGCUAUUUGAGGAAAGCAACCAGAAAGAUGCUCUAAGAGGUGGAGUUGGAAGGUCUCAGUAACGGGUGAGAUGUGGGGUGGAGGAAAAGGAAGAAUCAAAGAAAUCUGAGUAAAAGAAUUUAUAGGAGAAGUGGGUGGUAAGAGGUUUGGUUUUAGGCAUGCUGAAUUUGGGUUAAAGAACUGGAUUUAGAAUCUGAGCUUCAAGGAAGUGGUUUGGCCAGAGGAAUUAAUUUGGGAGUUAACCCCAUCCAGGUGGUAACUGAAGCCAUGGGAUGGGAUCAGAGAAUGGAUUUGUGAAAUAAGAGCAAUGGGCUGGGGACAGAAUCUUGGGGAUAAUUUAUUUUUAAUAAGAGUUAAGGAGGAAAGGCUCAAAAAGGAGAGCAGAUAGAAUGAGGAUGAGGAGAAACAGUCAGUCAUGGAAAUGCCAAAGAACCCUACUACAGUAUCUAGAAGGAGAGAUGACCACAAGUGUCAAAUCAGCAAGGGCAUCCCAUGAAAAAGGAUUAUUCAAAGAACUAUUCAGCAUCUGAAAACUUCUGCAAAAGUAAUUUCAAUGAAGUUGUAGGGCCAGAAGCCAGUUUAUGGUUGGCUGAAGAUUGAUUUGAAGUAAUUGGAAAAGUAGAGGAAAAG